AUACCGAGGGGAGCCCUGUGAAAGGGUUGAGACACCGAUAAGCCUACAAUGUGAGCGCCGCGGAAACCCUUUGAACCUGAUCCGGGUAAUACCGGCGGAGGGACGGGGCUUU
rnacentral:ncRNA from 1 species